UGAGGCUAAUAGUAUAACUCUGGGACAAAGAAGGAUCUUCGUCUUCCCUAUCGAUGACCCGGUGGAUUGCUAGUGGUGGGUAAGGCUCCCUAGCCACGAUCCUACCUGCUUGAGGAGGUCGCCCCCUGGAUUGAACCGGCCCGACUCUUCGGAGGCAGCAUGGGGAUUUUGUCAAUGAGGAAGCUUGCUGAGCAUGCCGCCUGAUGAAGAAGUCUUCGGUCGUAAGUAUUUCAUUGGGAGAAGGGAUAGUUUAAAUCAUCUCCCUGACGUACCUACCAAAAGCACGGCUAAUUCGUGCAGCAGCCCGGUAUUCGUAGGUGCAGCGUUAUUGAUUUAUUGGCGUAAGCAACGCAGGCGUUUGUUAGUCAGAUGGAAAUCCCCGGCUCACCUGGGAGGUCAUUGAAACUGGCGACUUGAUUCAGUAGAGAGAGUGGAUUCCAUGUGAGCGGUGAAUGCGUGAUAUUUGAGGAACCCAGUGGGAAGGCGGCCUCUGGUCAAAACUGACGUUCGGUUCGAAAGCGUGGGAGCAACCAGAUUAGAUACCUGGUAGUCCACCCGUACCGAUGUGGAUCAGAGUUGAUGUCUUCCACCCGUCAUUCGUGGAGCAACGCGUUAAGCACCCGCCGGGGAGUACGGCCGCAAGGUUAAACUCAAAGGAAUUGACGGGGGCCCGCACAACCGGUGGAGCAUGUGGUUUAAUUCGAAGCAACGCGAAGAACCUUCCUAGUCUGCCAUCCUGUGACAUUCCAGAGAUAAUUGUGCCUUCGGGAAUAGAAGCCAGCUCUGCAUGGUUUGGUCAGCUCGUGUCGUAAAGUGUGGUUUAAGUCCCGCAACGAGCGCAACCCUUCCCUUGUCUUCAGAUCAUUCGGUUGGGCACUCAAAGGAGACUGCCGGUGCUAACCGGAGGAAGGUGGGAUGACGUCAAGUCAUCAUGGCCCUUACGCGUAGGGUUCCCCACGUGUUCCAAUGGCAGAUCCAAAGAGAAGCGACCUCGGGAGAGCAAGCGGUCUUCAUAAACUGCGUUGUAGUCCGGAUUGGAGUCUGCAACUGGACUCCAGGAAGUCGGAAUCGUUAGUAAUCGUGGAUCAGAAUGCUACGGUGAUUACGUUCCCGGCCUUGGUCCACACGGCCGGUCACACCAGGGAAUUGGGUUGCACAGGAAGUAGUUAGCUAACCGUUAGGAGGGCGCUUACCACGGUGGAUUCAUGGACUGGGGAAGUCGUAACAAGUACAUAGCCC
rnacentral:rRNA from 1 species